UACGGGGGGAGCAAGCGUUGUUCGGAUUUACUGGGCGUAAAGGGCGCGUAGGCGGCCACCGCAAGUCGGUUGUGAAGUCUCCGGGCUUAACCCGGAAAGGUCAAUCGAUACUGCGGGGCUAGAGUGCAGAAGGGGCAACUGGAAUUCUCGGUGUAGCGGUGAAAUGCGUAGAUAUCGAGAGGAACACCUGCGGCGAAGGCGGGUUGCUGGGCUGACACUGACGCUGAAGCGCGAAAGCUAGGGGAGCGAACGGG
rnacentral:rRNA from 1 species